rnacentral:rRNA from 1 species
UCAGGCCUAACACAUGCAAGUCGAGCGAGGACUUCGGUCCUAGCGGCGGACGGGUGAGUAACGCGUGGGAACGUGCCCUUUGCUUCGGAAUAGCCCUGGGAAACUGGGAGUAAUACCGGAUGAGCCCUACGGGGGAAAGAUUUAUCGGCGAAGGAUCGGCCCGCGUUGGAUUAGGUAGUUGGUGGGGUAAUGGCCUACCAAGCCGACGAUCCAUAGCUGGUUUGAGAGGAUGAUCAGCCACACUGGGACUGAGACACGGCCCAGACUCCUACGGGAGGCAGCAGUGGGGAAUCUUAGACAAUGGGGGAAACCCUGAUCUAGCCAUGCCGCGUGAGCAGAAGAGAGGCCUUAGGGUUGUAAAGCUCUUCAGCUGGGAAGAUA